rnacentral:rRNA from 1 species
AUACGUAGGGGGCAAGCGUUAUCCGGAUUUACUGGGUGUAAAGGGAGCGUAGGCGGCAAGGCAAGUCUGAUGUGAAAACCCGGGGCUCAACCCCGGGAUUGCAUUUGAAACUACCAAACUAGAGUGCAGGAGAGGUAAGUGGAAUUCCUAGUGUAGCGGUGAAAUGCGUAGAUAUUAGGAGGAACACCAGUGGCGAAGGCGGCUUACUGGACUGUAACUGACGCUGAGGCUCGAAAGCGUGGGGAGC